AGCGAACGCUGGCGGCAGGCCUAACACAUGCAAGUCGAACGGACCCUUCGGGGUUAGUGGCGGACGGGUGAGUAACACGUGGGAACGUGCCCUUUGGUUCGGAACAACUCAGGGAAACUUGAGCUAAUACCGAAUGUGCCCUUCGGGGGAAAGAUUUAUCGCCAUUGGAGCGGCCCGCGUCUGAUUAGCUAGUUGGUGGGGUAAUGGCCUACCAAGGCGACGAUCAGUAGCUGGUCUGAGAGGAUGAUCAGCCACAUUGGGACUGAGACACGGCCCAAACUCCUACGGGAGGCGGCAGUGGGGAAUCUUGCGCAAUGGGCGAAAGCCUGACGCAGCCAUGCCGCGUGAAUGAUGAAGGUCUUAGGAUUGUAAAAUUCUUUCACCGGGGACGAUAAUGACGGUACCCGGAAAAGAAGCCCCGGCUAACUUCGUGCCAGCAGCCGCGGUAAGAC
rnacentral:rRNA from 1 species